rnacentral:tRNA from 1 species
GGAGAUUUAGCUCAGUGGCAGAGCACUUGCCUAGCAAGCACAAGGCCCUGGGUUCUAUCCUCAGCUCCG